AAGGAAUUAACGACUUUCAAGUUC
rnacentral:siRNA from 1 species